AGUGGGAUAGCUGGGUCAAAGGUGCUUGCAUUCCAGUUUUCCAAGGAAUCUCCAUACUACUUUAAAGAUUGGAUGCACCAUUUUGCAGUCCCACCAGCAAU
rnacentral:pre_miRNA from 1 species